CGAGGUCACACUCAAAAGCAUCAUGCUCAAAAGAGAACUGAAAGUCACUCAACAACAUAUCACUUAUUUUAAUGUGCCUACCUCAAGGGGUUGAGAUUAAACUUGCA